UGAGUUAGGUGCUUAGAAUACUAAGCAUGAACGUGUUAUCUAGGUCUAUUCAAGAAUGAUUGAUAGAUAUCUAGGUAUUACUUUUAUCUUGUAUGUCACAUUUGAGGUGAAUUCGUUGUGACGUCUCCCAGUUUUGGGAUGCGUUCUGACACUACUUAGGGUGGAAGGAAAUGUGAGGGAAUGUUAUUCCCGAGUUUUCUCUUACACCAAGUUUCGAGGACGAAACUUUCUUUUUGGGGGGUAGUAUUGUAAGACCCUGAAUUAAAUAACUAGAUUAUUGAUUUAUUUUCGAUUUAUUAAUUUAAUUGAGUAUUUAUAUUCUAUUGUUUUUAUGUUUGUUUAUGGCAAGUGUUCCAUUACAAAACUUUUGACUGUAAGAUCGAUAUGUUUCGCUUUCCGGAAAUCCGAUAAAGUUAGACCUUAUCUCCGCAGGGACUUGCGAGACCCUGAACCGUGUUCGAAGCUCCUUGCGGAGUUUUUGUCCGCGUUGUUUUAAUCCUUUCAUCUCUAUAAAUCUUUUCCGUGAAUGAAGUUUUCUCAUCCGGAGAAUAUUUCCUUAAUCAGUUUUGUGUCAGAUUUUGGAGCAGGUCGUUUCCAAAAUAUUUUCUCCUCAAAUGAUAAUAAUCACUAUUGUCAUUUUCCUAUAAUUCAUACUUAGCUUAAACGCAUAAUAUGACGACGUCAUAUUUGUUCUAAUUGUCUCGCAAUUAUUCUUUAGCUCUGUUUCUACUCAUUUCUUGGUGCAUGAAUCAUUUUAUUUUGCUCAAAGUGAUUCAAAUUUAUAUUUUAUCAUUUCAUAGAGUUCCUCAUAAUUUUUGAUAUAAUAAUAUAUCACUCUUAUAUUUUUCUCUUAAUUCUAUGAGCUAAAUCAUUCAGUGUCCAAAUUAAUUUGUACCGAUUAAUAAAUAUCUUCUCAUUUAUCCUUGGAUAUCCCUCCUCCACGUCCCACAUGUCAAGGUACCACCAAUCAGAUUUCCAACCUCUCAUUCUCGUCCACUCUCUUUGACUUUUCCUUCUUUCUCUUCAUAAUAUCUUUCUUUCUUCUUCUGCAACAAACUUCUCUUUUCUUCUUCUUCCUCUUUUCUUUUAUUCCUUGCAGCACUUCUUCCUUCUUUCAUUUCUUUUGCUGAAGCACCCACACCACCAUGGUACCUCUCACUCACGUCCCCUUCUCCCUCUCCACGAGAUGCUACCGCUGGCUACCAUCACCAUGUCUUCUUCCUCUCAACACCAUCGUCCCUCCUCCUCACCGUGGCUGUAUGUCCAGCCAAGAGCCACCACCACCUUGACUUUUCUUCUCUUUGGACAACCAACCCAUGAGCCACCACCAUAUACAAAAGCUCCGACCAUGGCCACUCCAAACAGCCAUGAACACGCGAGCACCACAGCCACCGCUGGUCACCACCGCCACGCCUCCUUUCAUGAGCGAACCACCAUGUCUUCUCCAAUCUUCAAGGCUGAAGCCAUUUUUCCUCAAAGCUUUCCUUUUUCGUGCUUUUCUCCUCUCACACAAAGAACAAACAAGGGUACGAAGGACGAAAGCGCCUUGCGACGAAGCUAAGGAAUAGAAGGAAGCGAGCCGACGCGAAAAACAAAGAUGAGAUAGGAUUGGAGUUGCAGUUUAGGAAGAAAAUUGGCUAAGGUAAGGGUAACUCGGUUUUAGAGCGUCUUUGAGUCUUGCAUGCUUUUAUCGCACUGCCUGUGUUUGAGAUGAAGAUGUUUAUAUUGAUUGGCAGAUGAUUAUGAUUAUUAUGCUGAAUUUGGAAAA